AGCAGUAGCCGCGGUAAUACGAAGGGGGCUAGCGUUGUUCGGAAUCACUGGGCGUAAAGCGCACGUAGGCGGACACUUAAGUCAGAGGUGAAAUCCCAAGGCUCAACCUUGGAACUGCCUUUGAUACUGGGUGUCUUGAGUUCGGGAGAGGUGAGUGGAACUGCGAGUGUAGAGGUGAAAUUCGUAGAUAUUCGCAAGAACACCAGUGGCGAAGGCGGCUCACUGGCCCGAUACUGACGCUGAGGUGCGAAAGCGUGGGGAGCAAACAGGAUUAGAUACCCCUGUAGUCCCUGUCUCUUAUAC
rnacentral:rRNA from 1 species